GGAUGAAACUCACAUCGACUGUUUUGGUGUCCGUAGAGAGUACUCCUUCAUAGAAAGAAAAUUCAAGAAAUUACAAUAACCUGGAAGUGAAGAAGCACUCAGGAACGCAUCUUUUUCAGUCUUCACCGUUCAGCAAACGAUGUCGAAUGCUUCGUGAGUGGUGGAUGGAGGGGGUCCGAGUCCACCCCUAGCAAUCAGUGUCGCCCCUUCGCUGCUUUCACCGUGGUCCGGCAAGUGAGACGAAACAUGCGUUGCUGGGAAUUGAGGUGCAUUGAUCUGUUCCUCCCUCUCGUCUCACCGGACCAAAGAAAUCAUUAACCUUGCCGCCGCAGACACAGGAAACUACAACAACAGUAUCUUUCCGAGGUUAAUUAAAAAUAAAGGCAUGGGGGGGGCCAAGGGUUUACACCGGGGAAUAGUGCACUGAUUUACGAAUGAGCCCACUCCCAGUUGUAGAGCACAUUUGAAAGAUGCCAUGUUUGCUUUCGGAACUUUUCGUCAUGCAGUGUUUAAAAACAAGGUCGCCAGCCAAUUACUCAAUUGGUCAAACACUCAAAAGGCACACCUAAGGAUAAUUUUGAAGUGAUUAUUCGUCCGACCAUGAUUUGGGAAUGUGGGCAGAAAGCUUUAUUAGUCAAUUAGUCAAACACUCACAAUUUUGAAGUGAUUCAUCAUUUUGGGAAUGUUGGUAGAAAACAGAGCAGUAUGUAUGUGUGUGUAUGUACGGUCACCAACAAGACGUAAUGGGCAGGCUAACGAGUUAACGGAAAGAUGCUGAUUCGCAAUCGUGCUAACACGUGAAAACGGACUUCUAAAGGAAUGUAAACGAACAUUUGGAGUAACACUACAUUGUCCCAAAGGUUAGACACGUUUCCUCAAUUUAUAAGUUUUAUUUUGACUUUUAAGUGUUUUUUUAAUUUGGAAAACAAAUCCACGUUGUACUGAAGCCGUGAUAAACGAAACGUGAAGUAGCGAAAGAUCAUAUACCGUAUUUUCCGGCCUAUAAGGCGCACCGGACUAUAAGGCGCACCUUCAAUGAAUGGCCAAUUUUAAAACUUUAUCCUUAUAUAAGGCGCACCGGACUAUAAGGCGCACCAUUAAUGCAUCAUGUCAGAUUUUUAAUCCAAAUCAAAUCAUUCUCCAUUUUAUCUUUUUUAUUUCAACUUCAGACGGAACAAAUUACUUUAUAAUCAUAAAAUAAUGAUCCAUAGUCUUUUUGAGUCAUGAUUCAUAGUCUUCAGCAGGCCACUUAUGAUUGAUUUCAUGACACAAUACUUCGGGCCAGUUUGAAUUUAGGAAUUUGGUCCAUAUAUAAGGCGCACCGGACUAUAAGGCGCACUGUUGGUUUUUGAGAAAAUUUUAGGUUUUUAGGUGCGCCUUAUAGGGCGGAAAAUACGGUAUAUAUAUAUAUAUAUAUGUACACACACGCACACACACACACAAACACAAAGCAGAGCUGAACACUGUUUUGAGUUUACUCAUUCUUUAUGAGUUCCUAAUGGAAAACCCUCAUUAUGUUCAUCAAAGAGCAACAUUUCUUCACCCGAUAUUGCCUUCAUGUAAGACGGCUUAUGAUUGGAUUCCAGCCUGACACAGAAACGCGCCGUUUUAUUAGCCAACUGCGGUUGUUUAUUGCGUAAAUAGGUUAGGCGCUUGCAAUUGUGCGAGAGUGUGAUGUGGAUCAAACUGAUGGGCCUGUUGAGCGCCAUUAUUGCGGCGGUGCGCCGGUGGGGAACACUCGGGAAAUGAUGCUCGGGCCUGUCAGAGCGGCUGAGCGUGUCUGUGUCUGGAUGUGUGGGUAAUUACUGAGCCUCUUGCUGACUCACGACACACAAACAAGCAGGCGGCUGAAAAGACACACGCCGCACGUGUGCAGGUUUGAUCAUUUGCGCUAAUUCUUCCAAUAAAUACUGCCCAUUAAUAACAGUCAAGUACUUACCUUGAUUUUUUUAACAUGCUAAACAAAGUAACUCCAGUACUAGUAACUCCACACACUAUUUUCUCAGCCAUUCAUUUACUACUUUCUUAAUAGCUUGCUUUUGCUAGCUCAGUGAAACUUACUUGAAAUAUUACAACGUGACUAUCAGAGUAGCAUAAAGUAAAAAAAACUAGCUAGCUUGGUGCAAACGUGACUUCCAGCUGCAUUUUCACAACCCCUCCUGGGCUCUCCAGGUGGAGCCAAAGCAAUAACAAAUGCCAUUGGUCUUUUUAUAGUGUAAAUAAUUUACACCCGUUAAAUUGUGUCUGUUGGGCUUGUCUGCAUCCUUCAUUCCCUAAAAAGCAGACAAGCUAUUAAUGUUGGAUAUUUCCCAAAAAGAAAAUAUUCAAGCAAUAUUAUGCAGCAAACAAUGGUUUUGGUUCUGAUUAGUAGUUCUGCAAUUAAAUAACAUUGUGAUACAAUGGAAGUUUGAUGCAGGUAUAUCCUUGUCCUCCUCCUCAACUGGUCCUUAUUUCGAUCGCUGAACAUCGCCCGUGUGGCGCUGAUUUUCGAGAUGUUUUCCCUCCUUUGCAGCUCCGCCUCGGAGAGAUCAUUUAGUGGAGAAUCCUGCCGCGGUCGAAAUUAAAUUACAGAUUCGCCGUCUCCCAUGGCAACCACCCACGGGACUUCAUGAUGCUCGAGCGAGAAAAAGCCUGCGCCUCUCCAGACGUGAAAUAUUUGUCGGGUUUAUUAGCCUCUGGAAAUUGGCUUCAGUGGGAAGCAGGAAAACAAAUCAUUUGAAUACGUACGCGGGUGUUCAUUUCUGUGCUGUCACUUAGAAAACGGGGGAAGGGGAGGCGGCCCGGAUAGAGCGCUUUAUGCCCCUGACAGGUUUGGCUUUGUGCGUGAUGAAUGGGGCUGUCACACACAGUGACAGGUUUGUGUUCAAUACAUGCGGAUGUACAAUACACUCUGCAUCCCCGUGACAAGCUAGGAGUUCUUUUUGUCCCGAUAAUCUCCAUUUCGUUUCAUCUCUUACGGCCAGCGCGGUCACGAGAGAGCCGCUGCGAGACACUACAUAAAAUUGUGUGUUCAAAUGCUUUUUCCUUCUUUCCUUGUGUGUGUUUUUUUUUAAGUCAAUAAGUGUCUUUGGGAAUUGAGUGUCCAGCAACACACAUUCUGUUAAUAUAGCUCCCACUUGAAGCUCCUGCUCAGACUUGACACUCAAGUCUAUGUGAGGACGGUCCUUGACUUCCCAACAGGUGACAUGGAUCUACCCGAAUACAUAAGUGAGCACCUUUGGAAAGGCUGAGACAGAAUCCCAAUAUCUCAAAGACAGCUCACUCAAUAAGCCCCUUAAAACUAACUAACAUCUGCCGGAGCUCACCAAGGUUUCUGUACUUCACUACUUCUGGCUCUAUAGAAGAAGAAAAAAAAGCCCCUCAGACGUGGCCAACUCAUUUUGCUCACGUCUUUGCAACAAACGAAAACUCUCGAAGCUAAGUUAUGCUAACUCCACAAAGGUAAUGAAAGCAGAAGCAGCUAGCUUCUACAGAAGCUGUGGAGCUAGUCCUCAGUCCAUUGGGAAUUACAAUUAAAACUAGUCCAACCCUAAUAGAGCAGACCUUGGGAACCAGCACUAAAUCUAUUCCUGAAGGCCUCUGGAAGUCAUACUAUAUCACUGAGUAUCUCCAGUACAAGAUCGGCUCGGUUUGCCCAGGCCUUUCGAAGAAAUGCUAAUUCCGAGAGUGCAAGACUCUGGAAUUUAUCCCAACUCCACUUGUAAUGUCAUCUAGAACCAAAGCUAACUCCCUGGGAAGACACUACCCGGACAAACUCAAAUCACUUUGCUCUUUGGAAUAGAGCUAAUUACCUACAAAGGGAUCUAAAACUAAGCCAGUUUCACUAUAAUAUAAACUCAUAAUGCCACUUGAAGUCACAGUUCCAAAUUGAAACGUCUGGACCUCACCCAACUGUACUUUCUCGGGCGUAUGCAACGAACCAGAUCGCCAUUGGAGAAAACAUCUCAGACAACUCAACAAUUGUCUUAGACCGUCAGAAAGAAACCGUAAUCUAUUGGUGAAUACCUGUGGAAGUCAACUUCCAGGGGAACGGGUCUCUGGAUCAAGCCCAUUUUAAUUAAUAGAUCCAGGUCUCGUGAAGGAACCCAGUCUCUUUUGGUCAUGGCCUCUGCAAUCACCCCUAACUAGGAAGACGCGUAUAAGGACCCACCCUGCUCAAAAAUCUCUAGUCGCCAGAAAAAAAGGAAUCCUCAAGAGAAGACCUCUGGAGCUACAAAAUCCCUAAAAGCCUCUCAGAUGGUCUCAACUCGCAACCGGGACACUGAUAUUUCCCAAGUGAAGCAUUCAUUGAAAAUGCAGGUUUAAAGUCCAAAUGUCUUGUUGCAUAAUCAUCGUGUACCAUAACUCUUUACAUGGGCUUCAACUUUAGUGUUGAUGUCAUCUAAUAUUCCAUGUUUCUCUUGUCCUACUUAGGUUGCAUUUUUACUGUUUAUUUUAAAUGACCCAUCGCUAGAUGGUAAACGUUAGCAGGGAUAAUGCAUAUAUGUGAUUUAAUGUUGUAUGGGAAGAUGAUCAGUCCUCAUUUGUAUCUGAUAAUUGGCCUCACAGCUGACUGAUUACUGCAACAUCCAUUGUCAUUAAUUAGCAAAAGAGCUAACGCUCGGCAAAAUCCCCUUCAGCUCAAAAUACAAAACAAUUUUCCAUCACGUACUGUCCUCAUGCUGAUGUUGAACCCAGGAAAGAAAAAUAAAACUUCAUGGACUCCAUAGGGGAUUGUCUCCUUGGAUUGAGAGUCCACUCUUAAUAUUUACGAACUCCAGUGACAGUGUAAGUUAUGGCCGGGAUCUGGCCAAAAGACCUUUUCUUGCCGUUUUCACACUCCUGAUAUUUAUGUUUCUCACAUGUGUUUUUAAUGCUAUUUCCAUGUUCCAUUAAAAGUAUUAGAAAUGGUAGAAACUAUGAGUAAAACUAAGGAAUGGAUAUUACCACUUUUGUACGGUUCAUGGAUUUAGUAUUUUGUUAGGUGUGUAACUGAAUGUCAAAAAAAAUUGGUUGGAUACCUACCUAUUUUGUUUUUCAAGUCAUGGUUCGAUUCACACUCACAUUUAUUACAACUAAGAACAAAACGCAAAACAUAAGUGUUUUUAUUUUUUUUCAACGGAUUUAGUGACAUUUAAGUUAAAAAACAAAACACCUGACUGCUGGCAAAGUGCAACAUCAAUAUUGUCUCUCUCUCUUGUUCUUUUCUUGCUUUAUUCUUACUGGGAAAAAGUUUAUCCACUGAUGUCUCAAACGGGGCUCGUUUAAGUGUUGUGACAAAAUCGAUGGACCGUAUAGGGAUUGAACGGAUUCUGUGGAAUUUACAACUGAAUAUCAACAUUUAAAGCUUGAAGUCAAUUAAUCGUGUGUUUACCACGAUACCACUCUGUGCCAAAGUAGAAUGUCCAACCAACAAGGCAACACAGUCUUUAAACAACACACACACACACAGACAACACACACAAUUGGAUUUUUGGGAAGAGAAAAAAAAAAGGGGGGGGGUCAUGAGUCCAACAGAUCAGAUGGGUUUCGUCAACAUGUUAAACCUUAAUACUUGGGAUCAUUUAUCUUUACAGCCCAAACUCAGAGACUGUCAUUGAACAAACAAGCCAUUUCCUCAUUUGGUUUGAGAGCAAAGUGGAGCAAAAAGAUAGAGGGCGGGGGGGAACAUGCAUUGGAGGUGGUGACAGAGUGGACUGAAUUGGGGUGGGGGUGUCGUAAUGAAAUCCUGAUGCCAAGUGGGGUGAGGAGGACCCGAUGCAUGCCUGGGAGAAGGCGAAUCUCCAAGGUCGAGGCGUCACGGCAUCUCUCGGAAGACUCGGCUCGCUCAUCGCGCCGGCCUCAUUACCCCGAGCAAUGUUGCAUCGGGGACCGCAGGAGAAGCGGGGGCACUGCCCCAGUGCCGGAGGAUAGAAUUGCAGUGAUUAAUUUGUCCAAGGAUCUCCUGGAACGCGGCCUUCUCACGCCAACAUUUGUCUUCAUUUGCCAAUAUAUGGCCAGUGACAUGAAAAGAUAGGCCUUAAUAGUCCUGAAUGGAGGCCAGCUUUUCUUUCUUAAAAACAAAAAACAGAACGACGCAUAUGAUACCAAAACAGGGGAGAGAAAUCUAUCCAAUGCAUGUAGUGUGUUUCACUGAUUUGUGAAAUCACAAUAGAAUAAUUCUGACUGUUAAUGCACAGCAGUACAAGCGAUGCAAAGUUAACCAGUUGGAUUUGACUAUCAUGUGCACGUUCGUCCAAUGGAAUAGAUUAUUAAAAUAACAUUUUCAUAAUAAAAAAAAUAAUAGCUUCCAGCCUUGAGGGACAUAGAUUUUUAAUGUUGUUACUGUUUCACCACUGUAAUUGUAGGGUUUUCAUUUGGAAAAUUAGAUUGCUUUUGUAUUUUUAUUUUGUUUUUAUAUUUCUUUUGGUAUUUUUUUAUCACUUUAAUUUUCAUUGGAUUUUUUCUGCCCUUUUUCUAGUUUAUUUUAAGCAUUUUAAAAAACAAAGUAACUAUUUACAUGUUGUUCUGUUGUUGUGUUCAUUCAAAUUCAAAUGGAUUUUUGUAACAUUUAAAUGCCAUGGGACAGUGUUUUUCCGUGUCUGUGGAGCAGUGCCAGUAUUCUACCAGUUUUGUGAAAAUAUAUUUUGUUUGAAGUUACAAAAUUAAUUAAUAAAUAAAAAUUAUACUACAAAUGUA